rnacentral:rRNA from 1 species
UACGGAGGGUGCAAGCGUUAUCCGGAUUCACUGGGUUUAAAGGGUGCGUAGGUGGGUUGGUAAGUCAGUGGUGAAAUCUCCGGGCUUAACCCGGAAACUGCCAUUGAUACUAUCAGUCUUGAAUACCGUGGAGGUCAGUAGAAUAUGUCAUGUAGCGGUGAAAUGCUUAGAUAUGACAUAGAAUACCAAUUGCGAAGGCAGCUGGCUACACGAAUAUUGACACUCAGGCACGAAAGCGUGGGGAUCAAACAGG